AUUGAACGCUGGCGGCAUGCCUAACACAUGCAAGUCGAACGAGUGGCGGACGGGUGAGUAAUGUCUGUGAAACUGCCCGAUGGAGGGGGAUAACUACGGGAAACGGUGGCUAAUACCGCAUACCAUCGGAUGUGCCCAGAUGGGAUUCGCUAGUAGGUGGGGUAACGGCUCACCUAGGAGACGAUCCCUAGCUGGUCUGAGAGGAUGACCGGCCACACUGGAACUGAGACACGGUCCAGACUCCUACGGGAGGCAGCAGUGGGGAAUAUUGCACAAUGGGCGCAAGCCUGACGCAGCCAUGCCGCGUGUAUGAAGAAGGUCUUCGGGUUGUAAAGUACUUUCAGCGAGGAGGCGUUACCCGCAGAAGAAGCAUCGGCUAACUCCGUGCCAGCAGCCGCGGUAAUAC
rnacentral:rRNA from 1 species